GACGUAGGGCGCGAGCGUUGUCCGGAUUUAUUGGGCGUAAAGAGCUCGUAGGCGGCUUGUCGCGUCGACUGUGAAAACUCGGGGCUCAACUCCGAGCUUGCAGUCGAUACGGGCAGGCUAGAGUUCGGUAGGGGAGACUGGAAUUCCUGGUGUAGCGGUGAAAUGCGCAGAUAUCGGGAGGAACACCGGUGGCGAAGGCGGUUCUCUGGGCCUUACCUGACGCUGAGGAGCGAAAGCGUGGGGAGCGAACAGG
rnacentral:rRNA from 1 species